rnacentral:rRNA from 1 species
CAGUAGCCGCGGUAAUACGAGGGGGGCAAGCGUUGUUCGGAUUUAUUGGGCGUAAAGGGUGCGUAGGCGGUUUGGCAAGUUUGGUGUGAAAUCUUCGGGCUCAACUCGAAGUCUGCAUCGAAAACUGCCGGGCUUGAGUAUGGGAGAGGUGAGUGGAAUUUCCGGUGUAGCGGUGAAAUGCGUAGAUAUCGGAAGGAACACCUGUGGCGAAAGCGGCUCACUGGACCAUAACUGACGCUGAGGCGCGAAAGCUAGGGGAGCAAACAGGAUUAGAUACCCGCGUAGUCCCUGUCUCUUAUAC